rnacentral:rRNA from 1 species
UACGUAGGGUGCGAGCGUUGUCCGGAAUUACUGGGCGUAAAGAGCUCGUAGGCGGUUUGUCACGUCGUCUGUGAAAUUCUGCAACUCAAUUGCAGGCGUGCAGGCGAUACGGGCAGACUUGAGUACUACAGGGGAGACUGGAAUUCCUGGUGUAGCGGUGAAAUGCGCAGAUAUCAGGAGGAACACCGGUGGCGAAGGCGGGUCUCUGGGUAGUAACUGACGCUGAGGAGCGAAAGCGUGGGGAGCGAAC